UUCCUACCCAAGCAGCUUGGUUUUCUUUCGCUUUGACCCUGUAAUUUCUUUCCCACUUCGUUGUCGUCUCUGAAUUACCUUUCUCUUGAUUCUUGCCCAUUAGCAUCCUCCAAUUUCAGAUGUUUGUAGAUCCCCAAGUGUUCCCAGGGAAAACUACUAGAAAAGGAGAAAACUGAAUGGGCUACCUUUGAAGUCCAGGGCACCCUCCUCUAUCUUGUUCACUUCCUCAUCAGGCACUAUCUAUGGACUGAGAAGAGAAGGACUUUAAAACAGUGGUAAAGAAAGCAACAAAGACAAUGACUGGCAAGACAGAAGAAUUGUGCAGAGAAAGAGGUAGAUAGAAAUGGAAGUCUGUUGUUCCCCUCUAUGUGUCUAUGUGUUUUCAUCAUUUUGCUCCCACUGAUACGUGAGAACAUGCCACAUUUGGUUUUCUGUUCCUGUGUUAGUUUGGUAAGGAUAAUGCCCUCCAGCUCUAUCCAUGUCCCUGCAAAGAACGUGAUCUCAUUCUUUUUAAUGGGUGUAAAGUAUUCCAUGGUGUAUAUGUACCACAACACCCCUGAACUUAACUUAAAAGUUAAAAAUAAAAAAUAAAAAAGGAAAAGCUGAG
rnacentral:lncRNA from 1 species